AUUGAACGCUGGCGGCAGGCUUAACACAUGCAAGUCGAGCGAGCGGCGGACUGGUGAGUCAUGUCUGGGCAACUGCCUGAUGGAGGGGUCUAACUACUGGAAACGGUAGCUAAUACCGCAUACCAUCAGAUGUGCCCAAAUGGGAUUAGCUAGUAGGUGGGGUAAUGGCUCACCUAGGCGACGAUCCCUAGCUGGUCUGAGGGGAUGACGAGCAACACUGGAAUCGAGGACACGUCGCGACUCAGAAGGGGGGCGGGCAUGGGGGAUAUUGCAAAAUGGGGCGAAGUCGGAAGCAUCACAGGCGCGUAAGGGAAAGAGGGCUUGAGGUUGGAAAAGAACUGCAGAGAGGAGGCGUUACUCGCAGAAGAAGCACCGGCUAACUCCGUGCCAGCAGCCGCGGUAAUUC
rnacentral:rRNA from 1 species